GCGAGGCGGGGCGGGGAUGGGAAGGACAGGGAGGGAGGGGAGAGACUGGGGGAUCCAACGCCGCAGCACGGACACUGCAGUCAGGAUGAUAUGUGACCAGGUCUCGUGUGUACCACCAGCACAGGUACGUUGGAGGAUCGAGGCAGCCUUGAAAGAAAGAGCCCCGUUGUCUCCGGAGCCACUGUGCAGCGUCCCCAUGUGCUUCAGUGUCCGAAGCCUGCACCUUGUCAGACCAAUUCCUGAAAGCUGAAAGUCGACGAUUAGAGUUGCGGAAGUAUCCCAGAGCUGUAAGGAAGGAUUGCAGGUGAGCCUGUGCGAAGCGGAGGAGGAGCAGGAGCUGGAGGAAGCUGUCGCUCGCGUUGCGUAGGAACAGUGCGUGAAAGCAUGGGGGAUGAUUAUUCAGAGCAGGAUUGGGUUCGCGUGUUGGAAUUGAAGAAUUAGGCGGAGCUCGCACCUAAGUGUGGUGGAGCCCAGGAAAUGGAGGGGUCGUAACGGGGGUUGGAAGCGGAGUUGUUAUUGCUCGUCCUUCUGAUUUUCGCUUAUGAAGUCUCGAAGUCCAGGGCAACAUUGAAAGGCUGUCGUUUUUCUCUGUGAUGACACCGCGCUACGCAACUCACUUGCGUUUUUAGGAACCAGAAGAUUAAUGCAGGGGGGUGGAACUGCAUACCGUUUGGUUUUGAAGUUCUCGACUCAUGUCAUUAACGGUAAUCAUUCUUCCUUGUCGCGGAAGGGAGGGCAUUUCCCACUGACAGACAGUUUCUUGCAACAUAUUCGCAUUGGAGGAGGCAUUCCAAUUAAACGUUAUCGACGUCCGCCAUUCCGCUCAACCCUCCAUUCGUUGCAUCUUCGCUUUCUUCUCAGUGGAAAUCACUGGAAGAUCUCAACCAGCGCACUUGUGUCUUUCUAACUAAGCAUUCAGAACACUGGAAGUGAGCUCCCAUUUCACAUGGUUGAGCUGGUUGUGUUCAAGUGUCACGAAUCUCUGUGAGGCCGUCGUCUUUAUGAUCCGAGAGGUUCUGUUGGGAUGUACGACAUCAGUGUUCGACCUUUGGCUCAACGUCUGCAGUAGGUUUGUCUGUUUUCUUUCUUUCUUUCUUUCUUUUCUCGAACAGGGCAGGCGAACCCUUCUUUCACUGGUAUUUGUGUUUUCGUCACAUCAAACAGAUGGGGAUCUCCAUGCCUUUUUUUGUCUACAGAGCUCCAUCUUGUUUGCUUGCUGUUGAAUAUUUUCCUAUUCCAACGCCAUGCAUCUGAUAAAGACCCCCAACACCUUUGUGCAAUCUGUACACACUUUUGUGUUCCCCUGACUGAGCAUUUGCUAGCCUCGCUGAACAGAUGAGUUUUCCAAAGCCGAAGCUUAGAAGUCGAUGUGUUGAAACAAACUCUGUGGGGAGGAGGAGGAUUACAUAACAGUCUUGUUUUUCUCCCCAGCAGCUCCACCGACAGGCUACUGUCAGCCCAUGGGCACGGUAAUAGGUCAAGGAGAAAACAAAAUUUGUGGAGUAAUUAUUCUUUUUCUAAUCUUAUAUUUUUUGAAUCAUAAUAACAACGUAAAUUUUAGAAAA